rnacentral:rRNA from 1 species
GACGAACGCUGGCGGCGUGCUUAACACAUGCAAGUCGAACGGAAAGGCCCUGCUUUUGUGGGGUGCUCGAGUGGCGAACGGGUGAGUAACACGCGAGUAACCUGCCCUUGACUUUGGGAUAACUUCAGGAAACUGGGGCUAAUGCCGGAUAGGAGCUCCUGCUGCAUGGUGGGGGUUGGAAAGUUUCGGCGGUUGGGGAUGGACUCGCGGCUUAUCAGCUUGUUGGUGGGGUAGUGGCUUACCAAGGCUUUGACGGGUAGCCGGCCUGAGAGGGUGACCGGCCACAUUGGGACUGAGAUACGGCCCAGACUCCUACGGGAGGCAGCAGUGGGGAAUAUUGCACAAUGGGCGGAAGCCUGAUGCAGCAACGCCGCGUGCGGGAUGACGGCCUUCGGGUUGUAAACCGCUUUCGCCUGUGACGAAGCGUGAGUGACGGUAAUGGGUAAAGAAGCACCGGCUAACUACGUG